rnacentral:rRNA from 1 species
AACGUAGGUACCGAGCGUUAUCCGGAUUUACUGGGCGUAAAGCGCGUUCAGGCGGUUUGGCAAGUCGGGCAUGAAAUCUCUCGGCUCAACCGGGAGAGGUUGUCCGAUACUGCUGGACUUGAGGGCAGUAGAGGGUGGUGGAAUUCCGGGUGUAGCGGUGGAAUGCGUAGAGAUCCGGAAGAACACCGGUGGCGAAGGCGGCCUGCUGGGCAGUGGCUGACGCUGAGGCGCGACAACGUGGGGAGCAAACAGG